ACGCGUUUCUCGGAGUGCUCACCGUGAUGCAGAUCAAGAUGGAGUCACUCAGCUAUUGGCAAGAUUGAAUAAUGAAGUGGAACACGACCACCUGAUCAUAUCUUCCUGCAAUUGACUCAGCUAGCAUGUGUGCUGGACAGACACGUUAUGUAUCAGCCCGUGCCACAGGACACUGGAGUCAUCGAGCAUAGGGAACGGGAGAUGUGGAUCCAUUUGGGUGCCAGCCAGGUGGACAAGAGCUGUCCUUGAAGCUGCGGAGAUCCAACCAUCUGAUGAAAAAGGACAGGAAGAGAUUGAAGAAUACAUACACCCUCGUCUUGUGGUCAUUGGAGGACUGGCUAGCAAUCAAAAGACUGAAGCGCUCUCUCUAAUCGAGUGACAGCAUCGACCACAUAGAGGGAAUCGGAGAUGAUGUUUAAUGGGACGUCUGACCAUUUCUCAAAAGUUUUAACUACAGCCAUCAGUUCCAGCAGUUGAACUGAACUGCCUGGGGAGUGGACAGUUAGAUUUUGCCAUUUUCCAUUUUCCCACCAAACCACUCCUGCUUUGGCUUGGAUCUUACUGGCAUCGGUAAAAACAGUCAGGCCUUUAACGGGUACUGCUGAUCUCAACGGCUGGUCUUCCAUUUGAAAUUUAACAGAAAACAAUUUAUGGGCCGGAUAAUGAUUAUUUAUAGUUCCUGGAUAUGACAAUAAGGCCCACUGUAAUUCAUCAGAUUGUUGCAGUGCCCAGUUCAAGAACUCAUCUGUGAGAGGAACGAAAAUGAUGUCUGCCUCAAUCCCUGCUAUUUCCACCAGACGUUUCCUGGCCUUAACUAUUAUUUUUGCAAUUGCCUCAAGCCUCGUGGUAAUUGUUUUUUUGUAAAUUAUGUGGCAAAAAUAUCCACUCCAAGAUCCUCAAUGGGUCUUUCGCUACUGAAUCCCAUUGCAUCAAGAUUGCCAUUACAUGCUGGUUUUGACUUAUCACAGCAAUGUUAAUUGACAAGUCAGGAUCAUAUCGAUGACUGUAAUUAUUGACUAUCUU